CUGCAAUCGCUGUGAGUACCUGUGUUCUGAGGUCUGACCCCUGCAAAGGACUUGUCCUCACCUCACUCACCUCACCCCAGUUAUAAAAGAGUAUCUUUGAGCAAGACAAAUUUUAGAGUGGCUCUUCAAGGACCUCACAUUUGAAUUGCAAAACCAGUUCAAAAUGGGCCAAAGGAAUAACGUUCAGCAGUUACAUCUGCAGUGAGAGGUGGUUAUUCCAAAAAAAAAAAAUGGCAUUGCACAAUAAAGCUGUAUUACAAGAAUAUAAAUAAAGCCUUUUUAAGUGGCCAAAUUAUUUUUUAUGGCUGUGUAUGUGAUAUAGGUAUUUUUGCAAAUGUUAGCCCACAUUAAGAUAAAUGAUUUGUGAGCAUCCUAUGUUAUCAGGCUGUUUGUGACAGAAAAUACAGUGGCUUUUCCCUUCUGGAAGGUACCUGAUUCUGUUUCUCAAAUGGUUUCUAUACGGAACACUUUUAAAACUCCUACUUAUAAUUUUUCAUAAGUACCUAUAUUGAUGAUUUUCUCCUCCUACCCCCUACACUUACCGUCUCUCUCAAAUGUCUCCGGAUGUACUAUGGACAUAUGGAAAGCUCUACUUGAAAUAGAAAAAAGAGACUAGAAGGAACAUUGGUCAUCUAGCGUGCCUUUGUAUCUCAACCUAGUGUUAAAAAGCUCCAAUAAAUAAGGCUUCACAGUCUG